GACAGAGGGUGCAAACGUUGUUCGGAAUUACUGGGCGUAAAGCGCGUGUAGGCGGCAGGGCAUGUCGGAUGUGAAAUCCCGUGGCUCAACCACGGAAGUGCACCCGAAACUGCCCAGCUUGAGUCUCGGAGAGGAAGGCGGAAUGCUUGGUGUAGAGGUGAAAUUCGUAGAUAUCAAGCGGAACACCGGUGGCGAAGGCGGCCUUCUGGACGAUGACUGACGCUGAGACGCGAAAGCGUGGGGGAGCAAACAGG
rnacentral:rRNA from 1 species